GGCUUGGUAGUUCAGUUGGUUAGAACGCGAAGGAGUCGCCGGUUCGAAUCCGGCCCAAGCCUA
rnacentral:tRNA from 1 species